GACGAACGCUGGCGGCGUGCUUAACACAUGCAAGUCGAACGGAAAGGCCCCAGCUUGCUGGGGUACUCGAGUGGCGAACGGGUGAGUAACACGUGGGUGAUCUGCCCUGCACUCUGGGAUAAGCCUGGGAAACUGGGUCUAAUACCGGAUAGGACCGUGCUUUAGUGUGUGCGGUGGAAAGUUUUUCGGUGCAGGAUGAGCCCGCGGCCUAUCAGCUUGUUGGUGGGGUAAUGGCCUACCAAGGCGGCGACGGGUAGCCGGCCUGAGAGGGUGUACGGCCACAUUAGGACUGAGAGACGGACCAGACUCCUACGGGAGGCAGCAGGGGGGAAUAUUGCACAAUGGGCGCAAGCCUGAUGCAGCGACGCCGCGUGCGGGAUGACGGCCUUCGGGUUGUAAACCCCUUUCGGCAGAAACGAAGCUUUUGUGACGGUACCUGCAUAAGAAGCACCGGCUAACUACGUG
rnacentral:rRNA from 1 species